CCCAUUCCGAACCCGGAAGCUAAGCCCUCCAGCGCCGAUGGUACUGCACCCGACAGGGUGUGGGAGAGUAGGACACCGCCGAAC
rnacentral:rRNA from 1 species